UGUGCUCCAGCCUGGGCAACAGAGCAAGACCCUAUCUCAAAAAAAAAAAAAAGAAAAAGAAAAAAAAGGAAUUGGUUAUAGAGUGUUAUAGAGUGUUUUCCAGUUAUUUUUUUUAAAUUAAUCUCCCAAGGAUAAUCUUAGUACAUUAAAAAGGCAAAUAAUACAUGUAUCCAUUUUAUGACAUUGCUAGCAUCAAUAAGAACCAUUUUGCUACAAGAUCAGUCAUCAAAAUCAAACAAAAAUUUAGGCACAGACACAAUUCCCCUAACUAAUAUGUUCAUUCUUACCAGAAGAUGUCAAGAGCAAACAUUUAACAAAUGUGUGGCAUGCCUUAGCCCUUCCCUUGACAAUCUGUCCUGAUUUUCUCACCCAAUCCCCACUUGUUCUGACACUGACUGGCUGAAGUUGAUUCAUUAAAUAAAUAUUUAUAGGCACUUAUUACGUAUCAGGCACCAUUAUAGGAUCUUGGUAUACAUCUGAUACAGACAAAGACCUUGACUUUCAUUGAAACUUUCAUUUUAGUGCCCUGAGAACACACUUUGAUUUGUGUUCAUCUUCCUCUUAACAAAAGUAGUUUGUGAAUCAUAAAAGUGGAAUGAAAGCCCAAGGAAAUUAUUUUUAAGCUGAUUUAAAUAUUAAAUAAAAAUCACUUGAUAGUAUUUUUCAAAUAGACCUUCUAUAGUUGCCCACAAAAUAUUUUUUUUUAAAAAAUUGCAGAGCAAUAGAUAUAUUUUGUUUAAAAAUUGUUUCAAACAAUUAAAAAAAAAACUCCAUCAAGAAGUACAUACACUAAACACAGGAUUGAAGGGAAUACAUAGAAUUGAUCACUUUUUUCUUUGCACAGAUAGUUUUUGCUUAAAUUUGUUGACUGAUAAUGUAUUAUUUCUGUAAAUUUUUAAAAAUCCAAUACAUAUUUAUUUAAGGCUUAAUUUGACCUACGUUCAUAUCAUGUGGUUCAUUCCUUUUUGUUAGUGUGUUUAUUUGUCUUGGUUCUAUUUGCACUUUCCAGAGGAUAUGAAAGUAAAAGUACUCUUAGAAUAUGUGUUUCUGAAAGAUAGAAUUUGUAGGACUAGGACAUUCAGCAAUUCUCUUUGUUAUGGUCUAUAUCUCACUGGAUGAUAUAUGUAUGACAGGAAACAGAAAAGGAAUUUAAAAUGAGAAAAAGAGACAGUGAAGAUUUUUUUUUUUUUCAAAUGUGAAGAUACUUCUAGAAAAGUCAGUUAAAAUAAUAUAGGUCAUUUAAAUGUCCUUCAGAAGCAAAUCAUGGUUCAAUUUUAGUAAAAGCACCAUGUAGUCAAGAUGUACUCAAAAAGCAAUAGUCCAUAAGAUGACAGUACUUUUUAUGUGCAUUACUGGUCUCACCUCAGCCUCCCGCCCUACCUAAAACUAUCCUUCUUCUAUACCCCGCAUUUGAAAAUCAUUGAAAAAAGAACACAGCUAAACCCGUAAUUUUAAAAAAAAGUUUAAAAUCAAAUGCUGGUGACAUACUGAUUGAAAUACACAUCAAAGUGUAUACACAUGCACCAAUAUAAUACUUUGUAUGUAUUGUAGAUUGGUGAUAUAUUCAAGUAUUUGGUAGUAUUAGUCUCCUCUCAUCACACUUUCUUAUCAGAAUUUUCCUGACUGCUUUGGAUAGCUACAGAAGGCAGACAAAUCCUAGGCAGACAGGGACAGGUCGCCAGUAAAACCUGACCCUCAGGCCAAAGACAGUUUAAAGCCUUAAAGAUAAGCUACAAGUCCUGGGUAAAUUAUCAGACUGGAUUGAGAACCUUUCUUCCCAUUUGGCAUGCUUUCCUCUAAUUGAUCCCCACCCUUCACCUAUUUUACACAUACUUACCCUUUCCUAAUUGGCUUUUUACAUUGUUGUGCCCACCUUUAUUUUAACCUUUUUAGCAUACUCACAAACCAAUCAGCACACACUCCCCAUUCUGAGCCCAUAAAAGGCCCAGACCCAUUCAUACUGGGGGAGAAACCACCCAACUUCAGGUGGGGGACCACCCUCACACUGACAGCUGUUUCAUCACUCAAUAAAAUUCUUCUCCAUUCUCCUCACCCUUCAACUUUUAGCAUAUUUUCAUUCUUCUUGGACAUGGGACAAGAGCCUGGGACCCACUGAACGUGGGUACAGAGAAAGCUGUAACACCAUGGCCCUCUGCCCUCUGCUGGUGGAGGGCAGCCACCCCAUAAGACAGAAGCAGCAGUGGGGCUGAGCCAGCCCUAGAGCCAUGGACUGGAGCAGGGCAAGGGGCUGACAAAGCUGUUAACAAGCCUCUGUCUGUUGGGCUGUGGAGAGCAGGACUAAAAGAGUCAAUUAGCAUGCUGCAACACCCCCUCUGGGGCUUUGGGGUCCUGGGUACCCCUUCCUGGGUACCACAUUCCCUUGUCUGGAUACUGGAGUCCACCACAGGAGUGGCUUGUGAUAUGCCUGGCCCAGCCUCAAGCACUGCACAGAGCCUGCUUCUGUACUGGUGUUUGAAAUGACAGGACAGACCCCAUACUCGCUCACUUACACAUCCCCUCCCACCAGGAUCUGAGUGCAUAGUUGCAGCAGUUACAGGAUCUGCACCAGAGCGUGGGCAGGUGUGGAUUGGUGGGCUGAGUGGAUGGGGUGUCUCCUGCGGUGAACCUGAGUCCAAGUAAGGUCUGGUUGGAGGUCUCCAGCUAACAAGUGACUGAGAAAAAAUCCUGGGUCACUUUCACUUGCUUAUUUUUCAGCAUAAACUUUAGGAUCAGCUUCUCUGGUUAUCCUUCCAAAAAUCUGUUAAUGUUUUUAUUAUGUUAAAUUAAUUAAGAAGAAUUGACAUCUUGAUGAUAUUGAGUGUCCUUAUCCAAGAACAUAGUAUACUUUUCCAUUUGUUGAAAUUUUCAUUUGGAUUUCUUAAGAGUAUUUUAAAGUUAUUUUACAUGAUUCCUACAUAUUCCUUUUCAAGUUUAUUCUCAUGUACAUUAUAUUUUGUUGCUAUCAAUAUUGGCAUGUGAGAGACAGUUCAAUGCAACAGAAUGGAAUGUCCAUAUAGUGUAAAUAUAGAGAAAAAAAUUGUGGCAUUUUGACUUAAUUAGAGAAAACAUAAUUCAUUUUAAAAAUUUUAACAAUCGGAUGACAUCUUGAAAUGUUUUAAAAGUUAAAUACAUACAUUACAAAUGCAUCAGAAUAAAUUCAAAAUAGAUCAAAUAAAUAAAUUACUACAAAAUAAUUACCAAUUGAUAAUAAUUAAUAGACUACAUUUUAAAAAUUGAAAUAGAAAACCAUUUUUUAAAAAGACAACUAGGGAAAAUUUCUUGCAAUUCACAUCACAGACAAAGACCUAAUAAUAUAUCAAUAUCAGCCUAAUAAAUAGUUUCCUCAAAUCAAUAAAAUACAGAUAAAUAACUUAAUAAAAUUAGCAGCGGAUAUAAACAGGUAGUUCACUACAAUAAAAUAACAUUUAAAUAAAUAAGAUGUUCAGCCUCCCUUACAAGAUUGAAAUUAUAUUAAAGGAAUUAUAUUAAUAUAAUUAAAAUUAUAUUAAAGGAAUUGUAUUAAUAUAUUAGGUUAUAUUAAUAAUCAUAUUAAAGUAUAUUUCACCCCAAAAUAUACUUUUGUGACAUAUUUUGAGGGCAUACAGACAGAAAUAGCCCUGCAAAGUUGCCUUUUGUGGAGUAGAUUUCCAUCUGUAGAGAAAAGUUUAUAUUAAUGAAAUAAACAGCCAGGUUUUCUCUGAGCCUCUUCCACUUAUCUUAGCAGAUCUAGGAGAGCUGAACUAAACAUAGGUUUGCAUCUAUUCUUUCUGAGAGCUGUUACUUGUGAGUUUUCAACUGUAUAAUAAAGCCCUUAUGCCUUUCUCUCUUUCUGUCUCUCCCAUAACCUGUCUUGCCAUGCAACAAGCCCUUAUUCUUCCUGCAACCUCAAGAUGUAAUAAAAGCAUCAACUGGUCUCUCUUCCAAGAUGGCCGAAUAGGAACAGCUCCGGUCCGCAGCUCCCAGUGAGAUUGACACAAAAGAUGGUUGACUUUCAUUGAAUGUUCAGAGGACAAAAGGACAGAUUUCUCUCGGCCCCUACAGUAUUGGCACUAUGAGCAGAGUAAGUGAAACUGCUCUGUUCUUCUGGAAGCCACAGUCCAGGGAAGCCAGUAUCUGACAAGCCAGCAGAAGGAAAUAUCUCUUAUUGAAGAUCUGUUUGUCUGCAUUAUAAAUAGAGGCCUCCCUGUGAGAGUUCAUCUGCAAUAUCACCUUCUGAAAUGAGACACAGCUGUUUAACAGAACUGACCUAUUCGCAGGACUAAGACUGAUUUGAGAAGAUAUGGGCUGCUUGUUCCAAUCUGUGUUGUCCUUCCCAGAUUGCCAAUCUCACAUUUCUUAUCUGAAUCUCUCUAAAACUACUCACUUGGGCUUUAAUAUGUGAAACUUUCUAAAAAUAAAGUUUUAAAUGGGGGACUGAAAAAACCAAAAAUAUUUUACCCCAAAAUAUACUUUUUUGACAUAUUUUGGGAUGGCUAUUCAGAGGGCCUGCAGACAGGAAUAGCCCUGAAAAGCUGUCUUUUGUGGAGUAGAUUUGCAUCUGUAGAGAAAAAUCUACAUUAGUGAAAUAAACAGCCAGACUUUUUCAGAGGUCCUCCCCUUUAUCCAGAUCUGGUAAUGAUUAGCUGGACCACAGGCUGCCACUUAUUUUUUCUGAGAGCUGCUACCUGUGAGUCUUCAUCUACAUAACAAGGCUGCCUUUACUCCUUGCCUUUCUUUCUCUCUCCCUCCCUUAACUUAUCUCCCUAUGCUCCAAGCUCCUAUUCUUCUGUAACCUCAAGAUGGUAUAAUAGAGUCUACCAUCUGGCCCUUUCUUUGAGCUUUCAUAUUUUAUAUGUUUCUCAUGUACAUAUGUGCAUGUUAAUACAUUUUGUAAGUCUUUUCUCCUAUUAAUCUUCAUUUUGUCAGUUGAUUUUCAGUGAACAUUCAGAGAGUGAAGGGGAAGGUUUCUUUUGGCCACUACAAUAUCAACAUUUUUUUAUCCUCCAGUUUGACAAAAACUAAAACCUUUAUAACAAACUGUGGUAGCAACUUGUGGAAAACAGACACUCUCAUUCAGUGUUGUUAGGAGUUAAGUUUGUUAGAACUCUACAUAAGGCAAUUUGUCAAUAUCUGUCGAAAUUAAAAAUGAAUACAGCAAUUGACUAAGCAAUUCCAAGUAUUCAUGUAGAAUGUUUUAAGAGUAAAAUAUUGAAAAUAGUCCACAUGUCUUUUAUAAGGACUGCUUACAUGAAUUAAAGUACAUUUAAUCAAUUAAAUGCACUGUAAAUGUCACCCCCUAAGAAACGUUUUAUGCACUAAUACGCAUUUAUGUUGAAAAGAAAUACACACAGAGACACAUAGGAUUAAUGUGCUACUCAGGGAGGGGAAAUAGAUGGCUGAGAAACCGAGCUGGCAGAAAACCUUUUCACAGCCUUUCCUGAAAGUAUGUUUGAGAGGAGACACAGGAACAUCUGGAAAUGGGGGAUAUGGACCAGAAACAAAAGCCAUAUUUUAUCCCAUAUGCCCACUCUGAGUAUUCACAUCAUGCAUUUGUAAUGGAGUUGAAGUACCUGAAGUGUCUCCAACUUGGAGACAAGAAACCUAGGGCAGGUUUGAUGGCUGAUAAUUGAUAACCUCUCAUAAAGAAAUGUAGAUUUUCUCCUUUCCUUUUUAAAUAAUAGGAUUACAACUAAUAGAUAGAGGCUACAAGACAAUAAAAUGAUUGUUCAAUAUAAAGAAGGAUUUCUAAUCCUUAGAGCUCUUCAAAGAUGUAAUAUGGUGACGUAGAAUGUGGAGUUGCCCGUCACUGGGACUGUCAAGUCAAGAUUAAGCAAUGGGCAUGGAAAUAAAAGCUUCAGUUGAAAUACUGAACUAGAUUAGCAAUUCCCAAUAUUUUCUACACUUAUGGAAGAUGACAUUCACAUGUGUAAUACAUUCCAAGUGGCGUAACCAGACCUAUGUGUAGUUCUCUGGCAGGAAUCUACCUUUUUUUUUUUUUUUUUUCUUUCACUAAGAAUAGCAUAUCAGAAGCUAGAUGUGAAGGAUAGUAACAUUAUUAAGGGGAUAACCUUGAAUUAUUUCAAUUGAAAGAUAUAGAUAAAACAGGCAUAGAAAUACACAUAGAAGUGUACCAUAGAUACAGCUAUCAUAGAAAUAGACUGGCAGGAAAUCUUGGUUAUUUAACUAGUAUUGCCAACAAUUUACCUGUGACAUAAUUAAUCACAAAAACUAGGAUAUCUAAAAACUAUAGGCAAAAAUACCAAAACUGAUCUUAUACCUUGCUACUACUCAAAAUGUCUUCUACAGACCAGCAGGAGAGGCCUUACCUGGGAGCUUGUUAGACCUGCAGAAUCUCAGCACCCACUCCAGACCUGCUGAGUCAGAAUCUACAUUUUAACAAGAUCUCCAAAUGAUUCAUAACCAUAUCAAAGUUUGAGAAGCAGUGGCCUAGAUAAAUGUUGAAUUCCUUCUAAAUGGAAAUGUACGUACAAAUGACAGGACCAGAUAUGAUGUCAGCAUCUGCAAUAAAGCCCAACCAUAUAUCCCUGCUUCCAUGCCUCCACAAUUCUGGAUGACCUUUCAUCCUGUAAGUAUAGCUAUACCAAAGGAGGCAAGCUAUUUUCUGGACAUCAGUUGCUACUCAGCAUUCAGUUGCUGAUAGAUUGUUUCCACACAAAAUUGCAAUUCGUAACUCAGGAUCUGCUCUAACUUUCAAGAUUCCAAGCAUUAGUUGUGACAGUUUUGAUUUUGAAUUUUUAUGCUCAUACCCAUUCUAAUCCCCAUAACUUUCGGCAUAUACCUAAAGAUCUAUUGGGAAAAGAAAUUAUAAAAAUAAACUGGUACUAUAAUCUGAAAGAUAACAGUGCUUCGAAACUUUUCAUUAUGUUGUCAAAAAAAGAAAAACGAAAAUGGUGCUUUUAAGUGUUCAAUACUUUAUAGUGGCUUUCUAGUACAUCACCCCAUGUCUGCAGUGUGAUACCCAGUCUCAGUUUGCAGCAAUGCAUUACUUAUGCGUGCAUAUCAUGCUAAUGAUUUUCAUCUUGUCCUUGGCAACUAAUCUGGAAAUGACUUUUCUACAGAUUCCUUGAUAAAGAAACAAU